GCCGGGCGCUGUGGCGUGUGCCUGUAAUCCAGCUACUUGGAGGCUUGGGCUGUCGGAUCGCUUGAGUCCAGGAGUUCUGGGCUGCACUGAGCUAUGUCGAUCGGGUGUCCGCACUAAGUUCGGUAUCAAUAUGGUGUUCCUGGGGGAGCCUCGGAUCACCAGGUUGCUCUAAGGAGGGGUGAACCGGCCCAGGUCGGAAACGGAGCAGGUCAAAACCCCCGUGCCGAUCAGUAGUGGGAUCGCGCCUGUGAAUAGCCGGUGUAGAACAGCCUGGACAACACAGCGAGACACAGUCCUUU
ensembl:misc_RNA Metazoa_SRP Metazoan signal recognition particle RNA